AAGUCGUAACAAGGUUUCCGUAGGUGAACCUGCGGAAGGAUCAUUACCGAGUUGAUUCGGGCUCCGUCCCGAUCCUCCCACCCUUUGUAUACCUACCUCUGUUGCUUUGGCGGGCCGCGGUCUUCCGCGGCCGCCCCCCGAUUUUGGGGGGUGGCUAGUGCCCGCCAGAGGACUAUCAAACUCCAGUCAGGAAACGUUGCAGUCUGAAAAAAAAUAUUAAAUAAACUAAAACUUUCAACAACGGAUCUCUUGGUUCUG
rnacentral:misc_RNA from 1 species